UACAGAGGGUGCGAACGUUGCUCGGAAUUACUGGGCGUAAAGCGCAUGUAGGCGGAUCCAUAAGUCGGGCGUGAAAUCCCCAGGCUCAACCUGGGAACUGCGCUCGAAACUGUAGGUCUUGAGUGUCGGAGAGGAUGGCGGAAUUCCUGGUGUAGAGGUGAAAUUCGUAGAUAUCGGGAGGAACACCAGUGGCGAAGGCGACUACCUGGCCUGUUCUUGACGCUGAGGCGCGAAAGCUAGGGGAGCAAACGGG
rnacentral:rRNA from 1 species